GAACAAUACAGUCAGGAUGGCUAAGAGGGACCCCAAGAAACCAAAGGGCAAGAUGUCUGCAUACGCCUUCUUUGUGCAGACCUGCAGAGAGGAGCAUAAGAAGAAGAACCCAGAGGUCCCUGUCAAUUUUGCAGAAUUUUCCAAGAAGUGCUCAGAGAGGUGGAAGACAAUGUCUGGGAAAGAGAAGUCGAAGUUUGAUGAAAUGGCCAAGGCAGAUAAAGUUCGCUAUGACCGAGAGAUGAAAGAUUAUGGACCCGCGAAGGGAGGCAAGAAGAAAAAGGACCCCAACGCUCCCAAAAGACCACCGUCUGGAUUUUUCCUGUUUUGUUCUGAAUUCCGCCCCAAGAUCAAAUCCACCAACCCUGGUAUCUCUAUUGGUGAUGUGGCUAAAAAGCUGGGCGAGAUGUGGAAUAAUUUAAGUGACAGUGAAAAGCAGCCGUACAUCACCAAGGCGGCGAAGCUGAAGGAGAAGUAUGAGAAGGACGUGGCUGACUAUAAGUCUAAAGGAAAGUUCGAUGGUGCAAAGGGUCCUGCUAAAGUUGCCCGGAAAAAGGUAGAAGAGGAAGAGGAAGAAGAGGAGGAGGAGGAAGAAGAGGAGGAAGAGGAGGAGGAGGAUGAAUAAAAAAAACUUGUCUCCUUGUGAAUCCCUUAGAGUAGGGGAGCGCCGUGACUGACCGUUUCUUAGGUUAAAUGCCAACCGGAUUGCGAUCGUGUAGUCUCUCAAAUGCUCCGGAAGUUGGCGGUAGUUGCUCAACGUGGCCACGGGGGUCCGGAACGCUGUGAAAUUGUAUCAAAGCUGUACAUAUUUCCAAACAUUUUUAAACUGAAAGGCACCCUGUGUUCUCCUCGCUCUGUGCACUUUGCUGUGGCUGUGAAAAGGCAUUUGGAGAUGUCCCUGGCGUUCGUUUUUUAAGUUGUAAGGUGGUGUUAACUGUAACGUCAUUGGCUAGAAACCCUGAGUUACCAACUGUACAUAUCUAGAGUUUGUAAAAAGCAAAGCAACCCAGGCGAGCCCUCGAUGCUUCCUGCCUGGCACUGAGGCCGGGGGGGGGGGCAGAUGCCACUGAGAAGGGACCUUCGACCUGUUGCUGCUGUGGCUGUGGCAGCGCCCAUCAGCUUCUGUGUAUGGUGACCUAGCGUCCUGCUGCCCUGUCUUAGCUGGGGACUGAGAGGGCCAGCUGGCAUGAGAAGUGUUUGGAUUCGUUACUGUUUUGUUUUUUAGUUAAGUGCUAAACUAUUUGU